UUUGUUAUGUGCUCUAUUUCCAUUUCUUUUGUAAGUAGGUCAGUUGUUCUUGUGAAUAUCUCACCUUUAUCCUUCACUCNNNNNNNNNNNNNNNNNNNNNUUUCCUUUCUCCCUUAGAGCUGAUCAUGGCUGCAGGAAAAUUUGCAAGCUUUCCUAGAAACAUGUCGGUGAAUCACCAGUUCCCUCUGGCCUCCUCUAUGGACCUUCUGAGCAGCAAGUCCCCUCUCGUUGAGCAUCGCACAGAUGCCUAUCAAGACGUGUCUAUACAUGGCACCCUUCCACGGAAGAAAAAGGGCCCUCCUCCCAUAAGGUCCUGUAAUAACAUCAGUCAUAUGGGCACCCUCCCCCACUCCAAAUCCCCGUGGCAGAGCUCACCUCUGACCCAGGACAUCAUCCAGGAAAACCCACUGCAAGACUGGAAAGGUGAAAUCUUCACUUUCAGGGAUCGAACUCAGGACCUUGCACUUGUGAGGCAGGCGCUGGAACCACUGAGCUAAAUCCCCAGCCCCUAUAAGUAGUUUUAACAGCUUAAGAAACCGAGGAAACACCAUCUACCUACUAAACUCCCCAUCAUGUGACACUGUUUUGUUUUCAUAGUGAAUUCAGGGGUUAAUUUGAGUUGACCUGACAGAUGUCAAGCCUGAAAACCUUCCAUCUCAUCACAUGGUACUGUUGUGGUGGUAGUGGAGUCAUCUUGGGUAGGCCAGACCUUCUCUUCAUGCAUACCCCACCUACAUUCAGAAAGGAACCAUUCAGACAAGAAGCUGCUUGUUUUAUGAGUCUCCCCUUCUUCAUAGUUCACUUACUAAGGUUUCAGUUAGCUGUCAUCAACUACUGUCCAAAAAUAUUAAAUGGAAAAUUCCAGAAAUAAAUAAAAAUUCAGUUUUAAAUUGUGUGCCAUUCUGAAUAGCAUAAAGAAAUGGGGCUACCUUCUGGUCCAUCUCACUUAGGAUGUGAAUCAUCCCCUUAUCCAGCAGCAUACCCACCUGUUAGUCACUUAGCAGCCAUCUCGUCUGUUGUGGUAUGGCUGUGCUUAGUCAAAGUAACCCUUACUUCAUUUAAUCAUGGCCCCAAAGGGCAAGAGUAAUGAUACUGGCAAUUUGGAUAUGUCAAAGAGAAGCCAUUUUCGUGUUUUUAAGUGAAAAGGUAAAAGUUUUCCACUCAGUAAAGAAAAAAAAAAAGUAUGCUGAG
rnacentral:lncRNA from 1 species